rnacentral:rRNA from 1 species
ACGUAGGAUGCGAGCGUUGUCCGGAUUUAUUGGGCGUAAAGAGUUCGUAGGUGGUUCGCUAAGUCUGAUGUUAAAGACUGGGGCUCAACCCUGGAGAUGCAUUGGAUACUGGCGGACUGGAGUGCAGUAGAGGCAAGCGGAAUUCCCAGUGUAGCGGUGAAAUGCGUAGAUAUUGGGAAGAACACCGGUGGCGCAAGCGGCUUGCUGGGCUGUAACUGACGCUGAGGAACGAAAGCUAGGGGAGCGAAUGG